ACACGGGGAGGUAGUGACAAUAAAUACUGAUACAGGGCUCUUUUGGGUCUUGUAAUUGGAAUGAGUACAAUUUAAAUACCUUAACGAGGAACAAUUGGAGGGCAAGUCUGGUGCCAGCAGCCGCGGUAAUUCCAGCUCCAAUAGCGUAUAUUAAAGUUGUUGCAGUUAAAAAGCUCGUAGUUGAACCUUGGGCCUGGCUGGCCGGUCUGCCUCACCGCAUGUACUGGUUCGGCCGGGCCUUUCCUCCUGGGGAUCCGCAUGCCCUUCACUGGGUGUGUUGGGGAACCAGGACUUUUACUUUGAAAAAAUUAGAGUGUUCAAAGCAGGCCUUUGCUCGAAUACAUUAGCAUGGAAUAAUAGAAUAGGACGUUUGUGGUCUUAUUUUGUUGGUUUCUAAGACCGCCGUAAUGAUUAAUAGGGAUAGUCGGGGGCAUCAGUAUUCAGUUGUCAGAGGUGAAAUUCUUGGAUUUACUGAAGACUAACUACUGCGAAAGCAUUUGCCAAGGAUGUUUUCAUUAAUCAGUGAACGAAAGUUAGGGGAUCGAAGACGAUCAGAUACCGUCGUAGUCUUAACCGUAAACUAUGCCGACUAGGGAUCGGGCGAUGUUAUUCUUUUGACUCGCUCGGCACCUUACGAGAAA
rnacentral:rRNA from 1 species